rnacentral:rRNA from 1 species
UACGAAGGGGGCGAGCGUUGUUCGGAAUUACUGGGCGUAAAGCGCACGUAGGCGGCUUUCUAAGUCGGGGGUGAAAUCCUGGAGCUCAACUCCAGAACUGCCUUCGAUACUGGAGAGCUUGAGUCCGGGAGAGGUGAGUGGAACUGCGAGUGUAGAGGUGAAAUUCGUAGAUAUUCGCAAGAACACCAGUGGCGAGGGCGGCUCACUGGCCCGGUACUGACGCUGAGGUGCGAAAGCGUGGGGAGCAAACAGG